CCUACGGGUGGCAGCAGUGGGGGAUAUUGCACAAUGGGGGAAACCCUGAUGCAGCGACGCCGCGUGUGGGAAGACGGUCCUCUGGAUUGUAAACCACUGUCCCCAGGGACGAAGAUGACGGUACCUGGGGAGGAAGCUCCGGUCAACUACGUGCCAGCAGCCGCGGUAAUACGUAGGGAGCAAGCGUUGUCCGGAAUUACUAGGUGUAAAGGGGGCGUAGGCGGGUUGGCAAGUUGGGUGAUAAAUCUACCGGCUCAACUGGGAGUCACACUCAAAACUGCUAUUCUUGAGUGAAGUAGAGGCAGGCGGAAUUCCUAGUGUAGCGGUGAAAUGCGUAGAUAUUAGGAGGAACACCAGUGGCGAAGGCGGCCUGCUGGGCUUUUACUGACGCUGAGGCUCGAAAGUGUGGGGAGCAAACAGGAUUAGAUACCCCAGUAGUC
rnacentral:rRNA from 1 species